CUGGCACCAGGCUGCAGAGAUCCUUACCGGAAGCAGCUGCAGCACUCUCUUCAAAUAUCCUGACUGCCAACCUCCGAGGAGACUCCCAGGAGCCUGACCAAGUGAGCCAGGCAUUAGAGAGAGAGCACAGAAAUAAGCUGUGGCCUCUGGACUUGAAGAACUGACCACUCCAUUCUUGAAGAGGGCAGUGAACAGGCAACCUGGUGGCCCCAAUUUAGCUGCACAUAGAAGUGGAGAAGUCCUUCACUGUGAUUCGGAUUUAAAACGCUCUUUAUUGAA
rnacentral:lncRNA from 1 species